rnacentral:sRNA from 1 species
UAACACUAGAUUUUAAUUUAAAGUUAGUAUAAUUUUUUUUUUGCAAAUUGUAUCUAUCUAUAAUAUAUUUUUAUUUUAUAGUUUACAAUUGUUAUUAAGUAACGUCCUGCCAAACCCGUCCCGCCAAACCUGUCCUGUAAAAAAAUCAUUUAUUUAUAUUAAUAUUGAUCUUAUUUAUGAUAUGUUUAUAAAUCAUUCUCUAAAUAUUUUUGUCGAUGCAGGACAUUGAACCCACACAUUGUUUGCCAAUUGGUUAAUAUAUGUUCAUUUUUAAAAUUUUGAAUCAUAAAAUGUGACAGAAAAAAUUAAGAUUUUUUUAAACUCUAUAUAUUAUAUAAUGAUGUUAAAAAAUUGUGAUAUAUCAAACUUUUUAUAAGUUUAAAUAUUAAUAAUGUUUUAUAAAUUUUAAAUAUAUAAAUAAUAAUAUUUAAAAAAUUAA